GGUAGCGUGUCCGAGCGGCCUAAGGAGCGCGACUCGAAAUCGUGUGAGGGUAACACCUCCGUGGGUUCGAAUCCCACCGCUACCGCCA
rnacentral:tRNA from 1 species